CAGAAACCAUCAGGACCCGCUUUAUGAAACCUUGCUUACUGAAUAGUCAGAGAUAGUGAAGGAAAAACAUUGCAGAAAUGAGAAAACAGACAAACUAGCAAAGGAAGCAGUCCAAAAAAAAAAAAAAAAAAAGAGUGGAUAAUUUAAGAGAUAAGGGAGCUAACAAAUAGCAAAUAAUAUGUAAGCUGAGAAUGGGACAUAGCAGACUUCACAUAAUAGGAAACAUUCAACAGGACAAUGAGAUCAAUGUUUUUAAGUUAUGUGAGAAAUUCAUUCACAACAGAAAAUAAUUGAUGACUAAUUUACAGUAAAUAGGAAGGAUAGAGGGCAAUAUGAAAGAAAAAAAUAAAAUAAAUAACAUAUCAGAUGCCAGCUGUUGUAAAACUUGUACAAAAAGGGAAAGAAGGCUCCAGAGAUGUUCUUACAGGGAGAUCACGACCUCUGCAGCUACACAACUGGAGAAAGUGCGGUAGCCGGCUCCGGCGGCUCUUCCGGUGAACGGAUGACUUCAGGGACACGCGCAGGCUGGACGGUCUUUUCCGUUUUGGAGAGACGAGGAGUGCGGCGACUGAGACAUGACGUGGCCCCAGAGAUCCUCAGGAGAUGUUGCUCCGUCAGACGGAGGAUCUCUCUGCUUCAGGAGACGUUUGCCAGUUAUUUGUUCUUCGAUGAUGGUGUGAUGCUGAAUGAGACGCGUGCCAGCUGCUCUCUUCAGUCUGAAGCGUGACCCUGAUAACAGCAGCUGAUGACCGCAGGAGACGUCACACGCUGAAGCUCCUGCAGAUGCUGGUGAAUGCGGUCAUUAAUGGCGUAUGGGUCAACAGUGCUGUCAGGUUAUUUGUUCUUCGAUGAUGGUGUGAUGCUGAAUGAGACGCGUGCCAGCUGCUCUCUUCAGUCUGAAGCGUGACCCUGAUAACAGCAGCUGAUGACCGCAGGAGACGUCACACGCUGAAGGGAUCAUCACACCACCGCUGAAGAUGAGCUGGAGAGUGUGAAGCCCAACUGUUAAACAUCUGUUGCUUUAUAAAUAAAUAAAUAUACACACACACA